GAUCGGGAAAAUCUCGCCAAACUGCAGGCACAAGUGCUCAUUGGUGGGAAGGGAACUGCUCAUAGAAACAGCAACAGCAGACGAUUAAAAAACUGCAGUUCUCCUUAACGAAGUUAGGGGUAAACAGUAUCUCUCUGGUGUUGAAGGGGUGAACAUGUUUACAAACCAAGGAGCAGUGAUCCGUUUUAACAACCCUAAAGUUCAGGCGUCUCUGGCAGCAGACACCAUCACCGUUUCAGGCCACGCUGAGACAACAGCAGUGGACAGCAAUGCUUCCUAGCAGCCCAAACCAACUGGGUGCAGACAUUGUGACUAGUUUAAGGAGACGGGCUGAAGCUCUGCCCAGUCUGUGGACAGAAAAGCACCACUUGCUAUUGGAGAGGAUGCUGCCGCCGAAGUUGCAGAUCUGGUGGGGAAUUUUGAUAAAUUUGGCUUCUAAGAAUGAGGCAAAU
rnacentral:lncRNA from 1 species